GAUGAACGCUGGCGGCGUGCCUAAUACAUGCAAGUCGAGCGAACAGACGAGGAGCUUGCUCCUCUGACGUUAGCGGCGGACGGGUGAGUAACACGUGGAUAACCUACCUAUAAGACUGGGAUAACUUCGGGAAACCGGAGCUAAUACCGGAUAAUAUAUUGAACCGCAUGGUUCAAUAGUGAAAGACGGUUUUGCUGUCACUUAUAGAUGGAUCCGCGCCGCAUUAGCUAGUUGGUAAGGUAACGGCUUACCAAGGCAACGAUGCGUAGCCGACCUGAGAGGGUGAUCGGCCACACUGGAACUGAGACACGGUCCAGUCUCCUACGGGAGGCAGCAGUAGGGAAUCUUCCGCAAUGGGCGAAAGCCUGACGGAGCAACGCCGCGUGAGUGAUGAAGGUCUUCGGAUCGUAAAACUCUGUUAUUAGGGAAGAACAAAUGUGUAAGCAACUAUGCACGUCUUGACGGUACCUAAUCAGAAAGCCACGGCUAACUACGUG
rnacentral:rRNA from 1 species